rnacentral:rRNA from 1 species
ACACUCCUACGGGAGGCAGCAGUGGGGAAUUUUGGACAAUGGGCGAAAGCCUGAUCCAGCAAUGCCGCGUGUGUGAAGAAGGCCUUCGGGUUGUAAAGCACUUUUGUCCGGAAAGAAAUCCUUGGCUCUAAUACAGUCGGGGGAUGACGGUACCGGAAGAAUAAGCACCGGCUAACUACGUGCCAGCAGCCGCGGUAAUACGUAGGGUGCGAGCGUUAAUCGGAAUUACUGGGCGUAAAGCGUGCGCAGGCGGUUUGCUAAGACCGAUGUGAAAUCCCCGGGCUCAACCUGGGAACUGCAUUGGUGACUGGCAGGCUAGAGUAUGGCAGAGGGGGGUAGAAUUCCACGUGUAGCAGUGAAAUGCGUAGAGAUGUGGAGGAAUACCGAUGGCGAAGGCAGCCCCCUGGGCCAAUACUGACGCUCAUGCACGAAAGCGUGGGGAGCAAACAGGAUUAGAUACCCCAGUAGUCC